GUGCUGGCUUCCAGCACAUAUACUAAAAAUUUAAAUGAUACAGAGAUUAGCAGGGCCCCUGUGCAAGGACAGCAUGUAAAUUUGUGAAGCAUUUCAUAUUUUU
rnacentral:snRNA from 1 species